GGAGAGGUGCCGGAGCGGUCGAACGGAGCGGAUUGCUAAUCCGCGACUCUUUAUGGGUCUCGUGGGUUCGAAUCCCACCCUCUCCGCAA
rnacentral:tRNA from 1 species